UACGUAGGGUGCAAGCGUUGUCCGGAAUUAUUGGGCGUAAAGGGCUCGUAGGCGGUCCAUCGCGUCGGGAGUGAAAAGCUGGGGCUUAACCCCAGUCCUGCUUCCGAUACGGGCAGACUAGAGUUCGGCAGGGGAGACUGGAAUUCCUGGUGUAGCGGUGAAAUGCGCAGAUAUCAGGAGGAACACCGGUGGCGAAGGCGGGUCUCUGGGCCGAUACUGACGCUGAGGAGCGAAAGCGUGGGGAGCGAACAGG
rnacentral:rRNA from 1 species